UUCUGAUAGAGUAGAUCCACUCCCUUCCUCUUCCUACCCCCAGGGACAUCCCUCUCUGCAGAAACUUCACACUUGAGUGGGAACACACCAGUCUUAUAUGUCCAAGGUUCAUCUACACCCAACAUACAUCUGCCUGUGGCUGUUCUUGACACUAGAGACAAUGUAUACCCUGGUACAGUCUGCCCUAGGAUGAUAGCCUGGAGAAGUGGUGCAGACUCUGGAGCCUCUUUUGAGGAUAUUGAGACAAAGAAUUCCAGUCCUAAGUACCAGCUCCUUGCCUACCUGAGUAAUUUAACCUCUAUGAGCCUCAGUUUGGUCACUAUCAGGACUCAAUAAAACUGCCUCCACUAGCUUGUUAUGAGAGACGCCAUUCUCCCUGUAUUGACCCAAGCAAUCCAUGAAAGAAGAAGUUACUCUCUAUCACCUCGAAGGCUGCCAAGGAGAAACAAGUUCUCUUCCACAUCUCUGUCAUGUCCUUGAACAAGGGUGGGAAAAGGAUCAACCUGGAGUGGUCUCUGGUGGACAGUGUCCAGCCCACCUCAUGGUGAGGACAAGCAGAGAGUAAAGGACAGGCAGCUGAGAGCAGGUUUCUGGUGGCCGGCUACAACACAGCCCAGUUACGGGUUGCCUCCCCUACCGAAUUGAAUUCUUUGAGAGCAAGCACUGUGUCGCAUUCGGCUCUGGACCACCAGCCCCUGGCGAGCUGCCUGGCUCGGAAAGGCACUCAAGGUUUAUUAAAUAAAUACCCAGGCUUGCCUGCCCUCUGGGGAAACCAGAGAACAGAAAUGUUUAACCUUUGAGAAGAUCUGCCCCGUUAUCAGAAUAAAAGUCCUU